rnacentral:rRNA from 1 species
GAUGAACGCUGGCGGCGUGCCUAAUACAUGCAAGUCGAGCGAACAGACAAGGAGCUUGUGCCUUUGACGUUAGCGGCGGACGGGUGAGUAACACGUGGAUAACCUACCUCUAAGUCGUGGAUAACUUCGGGAAACCAGUGCUAAUACCACAUAAUACAUUGAACCGCAUGGUUCAAUAGUUAAAGGCGCCUUUGCCGUUUCUAAGAGAUGAUUCCGGGUCGGAUAAUUUGGUUGGUAAGGUAACGGCUAACCAAGGCAACGUAGCGUGGCUGACCGGAGGGGGUGAUCGGCCACACUGGAACUGAGACACGGUCCAGACUCCUACGGGAGGCAGCAGUAGGGAAUCUUGGGCAAUGGGCGAAAGCCUGACGGAGCAACACCGCGUGGGUGAUGAAGGUCUUCGGGUCGUAAAGCCCUUUUGUUGGGAAAGAACAAAAGUGGAAUUAAAUGCGCACGUCUUGACGGUACCUAAUCAGAAAGCAACGGCUAACUACGUG